rnacentral:lncRNA from 1 species
AAAACUAGAACUCUAAGCAAAAAAAUGUUGGAUUCCAAUUCCUAAAAAGCUAAGGACAGCCGCAAAUUUGUGACAAAGGAAUUCACCUAAAUAAUUUUCCUUUUGAUUCAUUCAUCUCUCUUCACGCGCACACAACACGGAGAGGCCUAGGGAUGGAACAAAUUGGAAAAGUAAAGUCAAAUCACGGCUAAUGACAGUUGUUUGUUAAGAUUGGGGAUUGAAGAAUUUUCAUCCUACUUUGGUUGGAUUUGAUUCAAAAAUCGAAAGGUUUAAAUGGAACGGACGGUUCACUUUCUUUGAUUUCCAGUAUAUAUAAAAGUUUUAUUGUAUUCCAGUUUUUGAAUCUCAAUUCAAAAUCAAAGAUAGAAUGGGAUUUAGAAUUUUUCUUCUCUUAGAUUUUGGUCUUCAAGGCAUUUCGUUUGAGGUACUGUAGUUAGCUUGAGUUCGCCGCUGGUCGAGGUUCCGAUUAGCAAUUUCAGUAUUUUAAUUUAAUGAUGGUUGAUUUGUUAUUCUGAUUGAAUUGUAAAUUUUCAGCUCUAUUCAUCAAUAAAGGUUCGAUUUCUCUACGUUCAUUCCUUUUUUUAUGAGUUUUUAUUGGUCACUCCAUUUUUUAUGUUGAACGAAGAGUUUUUAUUUUAAUUUAUGUCAUGCUUGUGAUUGUACUAUCUUUUGAUUGAUAAGUUAUUUAUUCGUGAAUUUAAUAGUUAUAUGAAUGAACUUAUUUUGACUUUUAUGAAAACUUCUGGUUGAUUUAAAAUUCAUGUGGUUUACCAAGCUUUCUUGGGUUUUGAUCUUAAGUUUAUUGGGU